rfam:Anopheles atroparvus strain EBRO unplaced genomic scaffold supercont1.20, whole genome shotgun sequence.
AAAACGGCCCUUUUCAGGGCUACCAAUAAAGUAAAGCAAAAGAACU